ACAUGCCUACAACAUAGCGUUAAUGCACCGGAUCCCAUUAUAACUUUGUCAUUAAGCAUGCCUAGGCUAGAGUAGUACUGGGAUGGGUGAGUUCCCGAGAAGUCCAAGUGUUUUACAUGCC
rnacentral:rRNA from 1 species